GCGGACGCGGUGGCGCGCGCCUGUAGUCCCAGCUACUCGGGAGGCUGAGAUGGGAGGAUCGCUUGAGCCCAGGAGUUCUGGGCUGUAGUGCGCUAUGCCGAUCGGGUGUCCGCACUAAGUUCGGCAUCAAUAUGGUGACCUCCCGGGAGCGGGGGACCACCAGGUUGCCUAAGGAGGGGUGAACCGGCCCAGGUCGGAAACGGAGCAGGUCAAAACUCCCGUGCUGAUCAGUAGUGGGAUCGCGCCUGUGAAUAGCCACUGCACUCCAGCCUGGGCAACAUAGCGAGACCCCGUCUCUU
rnacentral:SRP_RNA from 1 species